UCAGGGGGCCGGACGGCCGCCGGCGGGUGCGCCCUCGGGUGGCUCGCGGGAGGAAAGUCCGAACUCCACCGGACAGGGUGCCGGCUAACGGCCGGGCGGCGCGAGCCGACGGAAAGUGCCACAGAAACAUACCGCCACCGCGCUCCUCGGGGCGCGGGGGUAAGGGUGAAAUGGUGCGGUAAGAGCGCACCGGCGUCCCGGAGACGGGGCGGCCGGGCAAACCCCACCCGGAGCAAGGCCAAAUAGGGGAGCGUUCGGGGCGUCCGGCUCCGCUCCCGGGUAGGCCGCUGGAGACGGCGGGCAACCGUCGUCCUAGAUGGAUGGCCGUCGCCGCCCCUGGGGCGGUACAGAAUUCGGCUUACAGGCCCCCUGACCCC
rnacentral:RNase_P_RNA from 1 species